GAUUGAGUUUGAUCCUGGCUCAGAUUGAACGCUGGCGGCAGGCCUAACACAUGCAAGUCGAGCGGUAGAGAGAAGCUUGCUUCUCUUGAGAGCGGCGGACGGGUGAGUAAUGCCUAGGAAUCUGCCUAGUGGUGGGGGAUAACGUUCGGAAACGGACGCUAAUACCGCAUACGUCCUACGGGAGAAAGCGGGGGACCUUCGGGCCUCGCGCCAUUAGAUGAGCCUAGGUCGGAUUAGCUAGUUGGUGAGGUAAUGGCUCACCAAGGCGACGAUCCGUAACUGGUCUGAGAGGAUGAUCAGUCACACUGGAACUGAGACACGGUCCAGACUCCUACGGGAGGCAGCAGUGGGGAAUAUUGGACAAUGGGCGAAAGCCUGAUCCAGCCAUGCCGCGUGUGUGAAGAAGGUCUUCGGAUUGUAAAGCACUUUAAGUUGGGAGGAAGGGUAGUAACUUAAUACGUUACUACUUUGACGUUACCGACAGAAUAAGCACCGGCUAACUUCGUGCCAGCAGCCGCGGUAAUACGAAGGGUGCAAGCGUUAAUCGGAAUUACUGGGCGUAAAGCGCGCGUAGGUGGUUCAGUAAGUUGGAAGUGAAAUCCCCGGGCUCAACCUGGGAACUGCUUUCAAAACUGCUGAGCUAGAGUACGGUAGAGGGUGGUGGAAUUUCCUGUGUAGCGGUGAAAUGCGUAGAUAUAGGAAGGAACACCAGUGGCGAAGGCGACCACCUGGACUGAUACUGACACUGAGGUGCGAAAGCGUGGGGAGCAAACAGGAUUAGAUACCCUGGUAG
rnacentral:rRNA from 1 species